ACGGCCGCGUCGCUCCCCCCUCCGCCCGCUACUGUCAUGGCGACGGGGGAGGAGCCGUCACGUGAUGGGGCGCGGGCGGGAGGGGGAGCUGGGCUGUAUCACGUGACCGCAGGGGCUGGGCUGCGCCGCCGCUCCCCUGUCACGUGAGGCGGGCUCCUGCUCCCGCCCCGCGGCUGGUUCCGGUCACGUGCCCACCCUCCGCCCGCCCCAUGGCCCCGGCGGCGGCGGCCCGACCCCCGUAGCGCCCGGGCCCCUCCCGCGCAGCCCGCCGGCAGCAGCCAGUGCGCCGGCCUGGAGCAGGCCCCGCUACCGCCCGCUCGUACAGGUUUGAUUCCUUCACAUUCUGUGGCUUUCUCUCUACUUUGUUGGAUAAUAAUGACCUUAAAGGACUGUAAAGUAACAAAGGCAGAAGAAAAGUCAAAAUCUUAGUCUGGCAUAUCUGAGGUUUCUAGUCUAUUGGAGUCUGUGGCCAUUUGCCUUUUUCCAAGUAAGCAUAAGGUGCUGACAAGAGAGUACGAACCCGCAACAGGAAACUGCAUAAAAUGCUUCUCAUAGCCACAAUGGCAACAUCAUCUGAAGAAGUGUUACUGAUAGUAAAGAAGGUACGUCAGAAGAAGCAGGAUGGAGCUCUUUACCUUAUGGCUGAAAGGAUAGCAUGGGCACCUGAAGGCAAAGACCGAUUUACAGUCAGCCAUAUGUAUGCAGACAUAAAAUGCCAGAAAAUCAGUCCAGAAGGUAAAGCUAAAAUUCAGCUUCAGCUAGUAUUGCAUGCAGGGGAUACGACCAACUUUCACUUCUCCAAUGAAAGCACAGCAGUGAAGGAGCGAGAUGCAGUAAAGGAUCUUCUUCAACAACUGUUGCCCAAGUUCAAGAGGAAAGCUAAUAAAGAACUCGAGGAGAAGAACAGAAUGCUGCAAGAAGAUCCUGUUUUGUUUCAGCUUUAUAAAGACCUUGUUGUGAGCCAAGUAAUCAGUGCUGAAGAAUUCUGGGCCAACCGUUUAAGCCUGAAUGCAGGGGAUAAUUCUGGAGCACCUAGUAAGCAGGAUGUGGGCAUCUCUGCAGCAUUUCUGGCUGAUGUACGGCCUCAAACAGAUGGCUGCAAUGGUCUGAGGUACAAUUUAACUUCAGAUAUCAUUGAAUCCAUAUUUCGAACAUAUCCUGCAGUAAAAAUGAAAUAUGCAGAAAAUGUUCCACAUAACAUGACUGAGAAGGAAUUCUGGACACGAUUUUUUCAGUCUCAUUAUUUCCAUCGGGACAGGCUCAAUACAGGCUCAAAAGACCUGUUUGCAGAAUGUGCCAAAAUGGAUGAGAAAGGGUUAAAAGCAAUGGUGUCUCAAGGAGUAAAAAACCCUCUGAUAGAUUUAACAGCUUUGGAAGAUAAAUCAUUAGAUGAAGGCUUUGGUGUUGCUUCUGUGGCCUCUACAUCAAAUGCCUCAAAAUCCACUAGAGAAAGUAGCAAUGCUGCCAUUAUAAAACGCUUUAAUCAUCAUAGUGCCAUGGUCCUUGCAGCUGGCCUCAGAAAACAAGAAGCACAAAAUGACCAUUACAGUGAGACCAGCAGUACGGAUGGAAACUCCAGGGAUUCAGAUUUCUUUCAACCACCAAUGAAAAAGGUGAAACUCCAGGAGUCCAUUGAAUAUGAAGAUUUAGCAAAGAAUAAUAGCAUUAAAACUAUUGCACUAAACUUAAAGAAGUCUGAUAGGUAUUAUCAUGGUCCAACUCCAAUUCAAUCACAGCAAUAUGCAACCAGUCAGGAUAUAAUUAAUUCUUUUCAUAGUAUUAGGCAAGAAAUGGAAGCAUAUGUACCCAAACUAACUCAGGUUCUUUCAAGUGGUGAUGCUACUAGCACUAUUGCGGUCCUGUCACCCGGAGGAGCACUUAUGCAGGGUGGAACACAGCAAGCCAUAAACCAGUAUGUUACAGUGAUGAAGGAAAUUAUGGAAAAGCAUAGCUGGAGUAAUACUGAGUUGCAGUGACAAAAGAAAAGCAACAACCCAGCCACACAAUGCAGGUGGUAGUGGCUACACCAGUGCUGAGGCAAGUGGAUGAGAGAAGAUUUUACAGAGCAAGUGAUGAAGGGUGCACUUGAUACCAAGUCCUCUUACAAAUAACGGGGUUUGCUUAUUCAACAUUUCCAUUUUCAGACUUUGUUUCUGUAUUUUAGAAAAUAAAGGCAUAUCCGGGAAAGGAGGUGGGGUCUAGAUCAUUGUCUGGAACUGGGGUUUUUGCAGCUUGCAUUUGAGAUCUGCAGCUUGCUGUGAAAAAUGACAGCUUUCUCGGAGACUGUAAGGGCAAAAGAGACAACCCCUUCUCACAUCUCUAUUAAACCACACCUUUCCCUGUUGUCAUGUUCCUGCCAGUUUGAAUUCCUUUCCCUUUUGUCUCACAGCCAAUGAAUCCCUGUUCUCACAAGGCAGAGUUUAUAACAGUUUUCCAGUUUAACUUGUGUUACUUGGUCUGAAGAGCAGCAGAAACUAAUUCAGACAGCUGAAAAAGCAAGUAUGAGUUCUUUGUGGUACUGAAAGAAAAGGAGUCAGCAAUCAGUAGUGAGGCUUUCUUACCCAUCCCAGUUGACAUACUGGGUAUUACACUGCACUUCUUUUCUUUUUUUUUCUUUCUUAAAACAGUAUCAUCCUGGAGUUUGCUGUUCACUGUUCAGUUCACUGUGCUCCUGUCAACUUCAUUACUGCUUGCAUAUUUUUUCUUUGUUUUCUUCCAAUUGUGGUUCCUUCCGUGGUCUUGAACCCUGUCAUGCUUUAAGAGUAUCUGGGAUACAGUUCCUUAUUCCUGGCUGGAUUUUUCAUCUUCCUCAUGCUGUGACCAUAUUCUCAUUGCCAAUUUAAGAGAGAGGGGGAAGCUUGCAGUAUCCACCACAUAGCCUUUAGCACUGUGCUGCAAGGAGAACAGGGUGCUGGACCCAGAAGCGGUACUGCCACACUGUUAGAACAAUACAAUUAUGCUGCUUCUAAUCCUGAAUUAAGUUUGGUGUCCAUUCUUUGCCUGGCAUAGGUCCUUGUGUAUCGCCCUCCAAGUGUAUCGCCAUAAAUAGCAGCUGACCUGUUCUAAUACUUCUGAUAGUCCUACUUCAGGUGUGAGGCACACCAGUGUUCCUCCCAGCCAACCUUGAUGUGAUUCUGGUAGAUAUGUAUGUUGCUAAACUCCUUCACUAGCCUUACAUUCGCAUUUUUUGUAUUACAGUUUUGCAUGAUGUGACAAAAUAUUUUUCCCAUUGCAGAGAUGGUGCCAAAUGACGUUCAGUCUGAACUAAAACACUUGUACGUGGCAGUAGGGGAACUGCUACGACACUUCUGGUCCUGCUUUCCUGUUAACACGCCAUUCCUAGAAGAAAAGGUUGUGAAAAUGAGGAGCAACUUGGAAAGAUUU